UCAGCCUGUGCUCCCUCCCGGGGAGGACAGUGCUGCGCUCGCGGUGCUGCUGGGGGAGAGGCCGUGGCCUCCUUCCUGCACCCGUGGGCAACGUGGCCGCGGGGAGGGCCUGGUGAGCUGCUGCCCGGCCGUGCAGGACGCUCUGCCAGCCACAGCCCCACCGCGCCCUGUCCCGUGGGCCUGCAGGGCCGCAGAGCCCACCCCCACCAGGACAAAGGCCUUGUUUUGCAUGUGGGGAAACUGAGGCCCAGAACGGCCCGGUGGCUUUCCUGGAGGCAGUUUUGCCGGGCCUCACUCUGCCUGCUCGUCUCGAGGGCACGGGCUCCUCCAGGGGCGGCUGCCGUGUUUCGGGCUAACUGUGCCUCACGGCCGUCCUCCCUCCCGACGCAGGCACCGCGGGGCCGGCCGGGCGAGCCGGGAAGGAGGCACCACGGGGGCACGGCGGGACUCCUGCCGGCAGCGUGUUUUCUGCUCUAAAUACGGACUGCGGGAGACAGUUAUUUUUAGGAGGCGAAUGGUAAUGAUUAGAGCUCAGGCUGAGCAGCCAUUUAGUCAUCAGAGCCCAGUCCACAUGCAGCAGAAAACAGUCUUUUCCCGGCUGACGACAGCGCGGGACCCGCGGUAAUUGCGCCUCUUCCCACGGACGCGAUUCGCCUCCACCCAGGUGCCCCGAGCACAGCGCGAGCGGCUGAGACCGUCAGGCCUGCGUGAAGGGGGCGGCUGAAGCGCCCACGGCGCGGCCCCCACCAUCGCUGCCCCUCAUGUCCGCGGCGUGGCAGCCCCAGCAAGAGCCCUCGGCGGGCACCGCUGACCACGGGGCGCAGUUCUGCGGACGUCCACGGCGGCUGCCGCCCGGGGCCCUUGUGAUCAUGAUUGUCAAACGUCAAGGCCCAGCCACCGAGGACCGCACGGCGUGUAGUGGGUCCGCGAGGAGAGAGCUGGGAGGAGGGGGGUGAUGAGAAGUCAGUUCCGUCGGGGGAGGCCCCUGGCGCGGCUCUGGGCCCCCGGGAGCAGCUGCCGUGGGGACAGGCCCAGAGGGACCAGAGGGGAAGCCGCGGGCGCGUGUCCUUCCCAGCGUCUCUCCGUGCGCGUUCCCCGUGCGUCCAGUUCUCCCUUGGGUCCAGCUCCCACGCGGCCGCGCGGACGGCACGUUUGCUCGUCAACAGAGGCAGGGUUCUCGCGCAUCUGUGGUUCCCCAAGGGGACAGCGGGCAGUUCAGGGGAGAAUUACACCGUCUUACACCCCGGAGGGGUGGAAUUGCCGCGUCACCGUGGGGCGCUCAGAGCUGGGGUCACACGGUGGACAACAGAGAAGAGUCACCCAGAGUCGGGGGCCCCAUAAACGCCAUGAGUGCACAAGCCCAUGUCCUGCUCCUGACCUGCUCGGGGUGCGCAGGCUCUGGCUGCUGGCGACAGCUGCAGGUCGGCUGUGCGGAUGUGGGGACGUGGGGGCCGCCGGAGGGGCUGCCUGGCACCAGAUCCUGUGCCCCCGAGGCUGAGGGUAGGUGUCCUGGAGCCCCCUGGGCCUGGCAGGGGUCGGUGACAGUGCAGACAGUCGAGUCCUGCCCCCCCUUGGGGGCCGCAGGUUACUCCAAACGUCCCCAGGGGCUCGUCUUUGUCACUAGCACAGCCCAGCCGGGGGGCAGUCAUGGUCCACGCUACAGACAUGUGAGAUCACGGCAUUUACACACUAAUUCCUGGUCCGCAACAUUGUGGGUCCAGUAAAGAUGGCAAAACGGGAAAGCGAAGAGGACAGACGCCAAGUUGAGCCCCGCGUGGACCGGCUGUGUGUUUAGUGCCGCAUGACGGUGACCAGGGCGUGGCAUGGUGGUGGCUGCCUUCUGGGGCCUCAGCGAGUGUCUGAUUGGCCGUCUCCCUUUGGGGUGAGAGGUCACCCAGGCUGGACGCUCGCAGGAGGCUGGUGGGGCACCUCACCGCUGUGUGGGGGUCAGGGACCUCGGGCCCAGCGUCCCCGCCUUAGGGGGACGAGGUGAUCCGUGCAAGCCCUGCCCAGCGGGCCGGGCAAUGCGCCCUCACUGCCAGGCGGGACCCUCAGGACAGGCUUCUGAUUUGCUGCCGUUGCCGCCAAGGCCCAUUUCACCCCCACCUGCUCCGUCUCCAGGCCACGGUCACUGGGCUGGGACGGAUGUCAGUUGGACGAGGACCCUGCAAUCUGCACAGGGACGUUGCCCACACAGGGAGCAGGGACGCUCGGUCCCCACGGAGAGGCCAGCACAGCUCUGCACCGGCACUGUGGGUCCUGGACGCCCUUGCGCACGGAGAAGCCACGUGCUUGGAGGUGGAGGCCCCCCGCCCAGCCACUGCCCCUGGCCACAGGGUCCCCAGGAUGCCAGAUGGCUCCUGGCGCACAGUGAGGUGGGUCUAACCUUCCGGGCACCCAAACACUGAACGAGCAGAACUUCACCGGCAGUUACUCUCCCCAACGCACUGGCGAAUUCGAUCAGGAAAUGGUUUGGUGCAUCAGGUGCCGGGCUCGGCUGUGGGUCUGGGGACACAGAGCUGAGGUGUCUGCUCCUCUUCCCGUGACUUGCGGUCAGAGGUGACAGGAUUCAGGGGUUUGAAGACGCGGAAGAUGAGACCAGGUCUGAGUGUGGUGGUCACUGAGCACUUUCCCUGUUGCGAGGGCUCAAGUCCAAGGGCCUCUUCUUCGCUGUGUCACAAAAUCUCGGUGCCACCCCCAGAGUCUGCACGUCCCUCUCGAACCUGCCCGGGGGUGCGCUGUGUGCACGUCCAGACGUGGUCUCCCCUCGUCUGGGCGCUGGUGUGGUCUCCAAGAGGGAAGCUUGCAGCGGAGCCAGCACCGGGAGCAGAGCUGCCAGCCACCAGCGCGCCCGGCCGCCGCGACCAGGCUACCCCCUUGUCCAGCUUCCAGGUCCCUGUCACCUCCACCUCCCAGAAACACAGAGUGAGAAAACUGUGACUUAAAUGCCUCAGUCAGUGUCCCGCCCAAAACAGUUUCUGCCAAAUACCCACAAGACCAACACCCCGGCUGUACAAGGCCAGUGUUAAAUCGCUUCGCUUCCCACAGGCAGCUCCACACUGGGGAAGUCGGCCGCAGUCUGGGCUCCUCCACGGGCCUCCGGAGCCUGAGCCUCGCGCGCCGGGCCUUGCGAAGCUUGCGUGGGGCGUGGGGCCAGGUCGGGGCCCAGACUGCAAACAGGGUGAGCAUCCGCCUCACAGGACGCUGUGGAAACCAGCAGGGACAGACGGGAGACUGGCUCAGCCACCAGCACCUCCCUCUUCCCGGGGAAAUAAUGCUCCCCCGGUCGACCAAAGUAGUGUCCGCUGUCCCUUCCUUGAGUGCAGUACACGUGCCCACGUCCAGGGAAUUCAGCCUGAGCAGAGGGAAGAGCAGCUCUGCCCACGCCUGCCCUGUGCCAGCCCUGCACCUGCCCUGUGCCCACGCCCUGCACCUGCCGCAUGCUCACCCCUGCAGGGCUGUUUGUGGGGCUUCGGCCUCAGACAGGCUGCCUCCUCUGUCAUGAAGCUUCUGUUGAGAUGCUGACCACUACCUGUGAUGAAGGAUCAUUGAACACUGAAGAUGAAGGCCCAAUGGUGGUGGAGCAUUGGUGAUGACAACUACUGGUGAUGAAGGACCAUUGGUGAUGAAGGACCAUUGGUGAUGAUGGACCAUUGGUAGUGGUGAGGGACCAUUGGUGAGGAUGGACCAUUGGUGGUGAUGAAAGACCAUUGGUGAGGAUGGAGCAUUGGUGGUGAUGAAGGACCAUUGGUGAGGAUGGACCAUUAGUGGUGAUGAAAGACCAUUGGUGAUCAUGGACCAUUGGUGAUCAUGGACCAUUGGUGGUGGUGAGGGACCAUUGAUGAGGAUGGACCAUUGGUGGUGAUGAAAGACCAUUGGUGAGGAUGGAGCAUUGGUGGUGAUGAAGGACCAUUGGUGAGGAUGGACCAUUGGUGGUGAUGAAAGACCAUUGGUGAGGAUGGACCAUUGGUGGUGAUGAAAGACCAUUGGUGAUGAAGGACCAUUUGUGAGGAUGGACCAUUGGUCGUGAUGAAGGACCAUUGGUGAGGAUGGAGCAUUGGUGAGGAUGGACCAUUGGUGAUGGAGGAUCAUUGGUGAGGAUGGAGCAUUGGUGGUGAUGAAGGACCAUUGGUGAGGAUGGACCAUUAGUGAUGAUGGACCAUUGGUGAGGAUGGACCAUUGGUGAUGAAGGACCAUUGGUGAUGAAGGACCAUUGGUGGUGAGGAUGGACCAUUGGUGAGGAUGGACCAUUGGUGAUGAAAGACCAUUGGUGGUGAUGAAGGACCAUUGGUGGUGAUGGACCAUUGGUGAGGAUGGACCAUUGGUCGUGAUGAAGGACCACUGGUGAUGAAGGACCAUUGGUGAGGAUGGACCAUUAGUAAGGAUGGACCAUUGGUGAGGAUGGACCAUUGGUGAUGAGGAACCACUGGUGAUGAUGGACUGUUGGUGAGAAUGCACCAUUGGUGAUGAAGGACCAUUGGUGAGAAUGGACCAUUAGUGAUGAUGGACUAUUGGUGAUGAAGAAGCAUCGAAUAUUUUGAUCUUUUGUGCAUUUAUAUAAUUUUUUAAAAGUAAGACAAAAAUGAUUUAUUAGAGAAAUAAAAUACAAAUGCACAAAAAUAUAACCCCUAAAUUUCUGUAGUAUAUUCAAUAGACAUAAAAUUAUGUUUCAAAUAAUUAAAUCGGAACAAAAGGAAAAUCCGAACUAAAUUACAUAGACUCUACAUAUAUUUCAUAGAAAGAGUGUGUAUUAGUGAUUUUUACAGAGAAUUGUUCUAUCACUACUGUGGACAGAGCUUUGUCCCUCCCAAAUUCAUAUAUUCAAACCCUCAUCCCCAAUGUGAUAGUGUUUGGAGACGGGACCUUUGAGACGUGAUUAGGUCAUGAAGAGGUCAUGAGGGUGGGGCCCUGCAGUAGGAUUAGUGCCCUGUAAGAGGAGGAAGGGAGGAGGCCAGAGCUCUCUGGCCCACAAUGUGAGGACACAGUGAGAGGCA